GUUGUCAACUUGAAAAAGACAUACCAUUAGACAUACCAUUGAAUACUAGCAGUUGCUACGUUUAUGCGAAUACCUGUCACACCUGGGUUGAAGCUGCAUCAGAGUGUUCUAUACAAGGGUGUUAUCUGUACAAGAUAACAGAUGACGAGUCAUUUGAAGAUAUCAAAUCAGUCAUCCUACAACGAGGUCUAUGCAACUCCGGUGUUUGGAUUGGCUCGACGAGAACACACAGUGGACAGUUUCAAUGGGAAGAUGGCACUCCUACAAAUACAAGUACAGCAUACUGGCUUCAAGAAGAGCCAAACAAUUGUUGUGGAAAGAAUGAAAGUUGUGUUGAAAUUCGGAAUUUUAACGGGCUUCUUCUGAACGAUGAGAGUUGCGAUCAGCCAAGAGGUUAUGCAUGUCAGUGCCAACGAAUUCCAGUAUCCAACGUAAGCAUUAAAAAUCUGUCAGAUACGUUUCUAAAAAUCAACGGCUCCACCUCGUCGGUGGAAUUUGAGUGUACUGUACCUAGAUCACGACCAAAGGCUACUAUUAUGUGGUUCAAAAAUACAAGUGGGCAUGUCAGCCUUGCAAUAGAUUCUACAGAGACCCGGACAAUUGCAAAUAUCGACAGGACAUAUAUGACCAUUGGUAGGUUAAACAUAUCUGUCAGUCAAGCUGACAACCACUUGGGAGUGUACUGUGCGGCAAGCAACGGAGUCGGAAACGUUCAUAGAACAGAUCAAGUUACUCUUAUAUUCGAGUCUGAUAGCCCGUUGUACUUCUAUAUCAUAGAAGAAACAGUUACAGAAACAUUUGCCGUUGUUACUUGGCUACCGAGCAGUAAUCACAGACUACCACAAACGUUCCAGUUGCAAUAUCGUUCCAGUGGAUCAGCAGCUUGGAGGAACACUACAAUUGACGAGAGAGUUUCUAAUAACCGUCGCGAGAUGUUUGUCGUACUUGACGAUCUUCAAAGUGACACAGAAUAUCAAGCAGAAUUAUUCUCAUUCGACAUACACGCCCGUUCUAAAUCAUUGCAUUACACGUUUUUCACCAAGGCACACGAUACGAAAAGCAUGAUAAAUAAAAGUCAGCCAGAGAAAGAUGCACCAAUUGGAGCUAUAGUUGGAGGAGUUGUGUCUGGAUGUGUCAUUUUGUUGUUUGUCGCGGUUGUCAUUUUAAUGAGGCGGAAGUAUGAUAUUACCGUUAACAUAAAACGCAAGGGUGAAGAAACGGGGAAUUUGGGCACUGCUAAAUUUAGCUCUUCCGCAGUGGUCGACGAAAGCUACUCGACAUUGUCUCAGAUGAGCAUGCAUCAGUCUGAUCAAUACGAAGUUUUAUCGGGACCACUUCCAUCAAAUAAACUUCAACACGAAUGCUUGGAUCCAAAGGAAAACCCAUGCUACAAUGAAAUGACAUAACUUUAGGACUUUCUGUAUCUGGAUGCAAACACUGCUUCCGUGCGUAAGUUACAAGCGAAUAUUCGUUCCUCAUUUUUUGUGUUUUGUUAACAUUUAUAAUUAAGAUAGUACGUGAGGUAGUUAACAUUUCACCACCAGGCGUUGCACGUUUAGACCCUAUGCAUAUGAUUUAAAGUAAAACUUAUUUGAGGAUCCCUGAACAAAUGUCAAUUUUUGGAAUAUAACUUAUCCGGGAUUUAUUGUUUCAUUGAAAAAAAAUACUUUGUAAAUAUUAUUUUUAUAAAAUUGUGACACGACAAGUGCCUAUGUUUGCCAUUUCGAUAGAUUAUGUAUCAUGCACUCACAACUCACCCACGCGCCAGAACUAUAUAGAAGAAAUCAAUUAUGGUUAGCGUACAUUAAUAGACCUCGUAUAAUGUGUAUUUUAAUUUAUUUUGCGAUUUAGAGCAUUCUAGAAACUUAUGUUAAAAGCAUUGAAAAUAGGAAAUACUGUCAUGAAAACUAUAGUGCAAUACACACAUAGUUAUCGUCAUAACACUAAAGGGCAUUUCUUUAUAUUUUUAUGUAUUGAACUAUAAUGACUGUUGUUUUCUUGUUAUAAAACUGAAGUUCUAGCUGUAAUUGAUAUAUAAGUGUGUUUUUUAACAUUCGAAUAAUAUAUAUCAUUCACAUUAAUUGUUUAAUUGUAAUAAAUAUCGUUUAAACGUGACAAUAUGCAUGUAAUAAAAGUGUGUUAUAUUUA